rnacentral:snRNA from 1 species
AUCGCUUCUCGGCCUUUUGGCUAAGAUCAAGUGUAGUACCUUUUGGGAAACACGAGUAUCUGUCAUUAGGUGCCUUGAGACUUUGUCCUUUUAAGGGCUAUAGUUCCUGGCAACGAGAAGGAUCAACCACU